UGGCAGCAGUGAUGAUGAUGACUUUGUCACUCUUGCUGAUUAAAUGCUGAAGGUUUUCAGUCACUACCUCAUCUGAGGCUGUCA